CAGGACAGAGGAGAGUUGACAACAAAAUCGGUUUCCCAUCGAUAUCGUCAGUGGAAGCACGGCUACCGGACACAUAUGUACCGCAAGCAGAGUCUGAGUGAGUCUGAGUACCUCGUACCUACGUACCCCGCGGCGCGGCCAAGCCAAGCGCCAGGCGGCAGGCGCUAGGCGCUGGCGCGGCGACGGCCGACGCCAGCAGAUCACAGAUCAGCUGAAUCAUGGAGUCGUAAAAAUACAACUCGCCUCAAACGCGCGUGCGCGUGCGCGCGUGCAUAUGCAUGAACAAUCAUUUUGAUGCGUAAUUUUUUCUCUCCAUCAGCCCCGUGCCGCGCCGCAAGCAAGCUCGACACAAAAGUCUGUUGCUUGGAAAAGAAGUACAACAAGUCACAGUGUGCUUGACACUCAUAGCUCCAUUCUGUGAGGAAACAGCUAUCAUGGCGGACUCAGUGUAUGGAAAAAUCCUCGUCUCUCGGUCUAUGCACCGAACCCUCUUCGGAACGUUCGGAAAGUGGGGCGUCACCAUGAUGGUCGGUGUUAUCGCAUUCGAAGCAGGUUUCGGCAGAUCCUUCGAUGAGGCUUUCCGCUGGAGAAACAAGGGCAAACUCUGGGAGGACCUCCAGCCUAUCGUCAAGGAGAGAAUCGGAGAGACUGAUUAGUUCAUAUAUAUUUACUGCUGCUGCUGCACAUGUGUAGUUUCUGCCUGUACCUAGUACGUAAUUGCGUGUUAGUUCAUAUUUAUUUACUGCUGCUGCUGCUUUGCGACGAUGACAACAACAAUACAGUUGUGCGCUCGUGUUGCGCACCUGCAGUGUGCACACGUGUGUAGUUUCUGCUGUACAUGAACCUGGUGCUUGAUUGCGUGUUGAUGGUCAUUGAUUGAUCUUCGUGCCUA